rnacentral:tRNA from 1 species
CAAAUUAGAGCUUGAUUAAAGCAUUUUAGUUACAUUAAAGAGUUUAUUGUAAAUUCAAUAUAAUUUGA